rnacentral:snRNA from 1 species
GAGAGAGUUGAGCUCCUGUCAU